CUGUAGUCUCCGGAGCAGCCAGCAUGGGCCCAGGAUUGGGCAGGGGAGCAGGACCCGGAGGGGUUGGAAUGGGCCCAGGAGCAGGGCUGAUGGCAAGUCUCUCAGAGCUUCUUAGCUCCACAAGGAUGGGUGUACAGAGGAGUUCAAUUCCUGCUGAGUUUGGAGCUCCUGUGCAGCUCAUCUGCAUGUUUUAGUCCUGCAUACUUCAGUUUGUGGCUGAAAUCAGAGAGUGCGCCGCACUAGCGAGACUGAGAGAGAAAGAUCCAAGCUGUGAAGUUUUGCAUUUGGAUCAAGAUCUGUGUAUCCCCAAAGUCCAAGGUCUUCAGUUCCAGAUUUUCAGUUCAGGCCCAUCUCUAAAAUGAGAAUGUUUUUGUAAUCAUCUUUAAGCAACAGCUUGUAGUUACCCUAUCUAAUCUGACUUUGUAGCAUGUUUAGGAGAAUUAAUGUGCAGAUGCAAAUCAUGCCUAUUUAGGAUGGCUAGCUACAUAUCAGAGGCAGGAACUAGUUUGAGUCUAAAGAGAGAAGAAGAGGGAUUGUUGCCUUGAGCACAGAGCUUGCUUUCUGCCUGCUGUGUACUGUUUGUGCAGUUUGUAAUUUUUGUAUUAACUAUGAUUAGUGGUCUUGAAGUAAAACCCUGCUCAAGAUAUCUUCCAAACAAAAAUGGAAAGUCUGAUCUUGAUUCAGUUGAAAGAAUAUAUAACCAAAUUAUAAACAAAUCAUACAUAUCUGUACCAUUGUACUUCUUUAUUCUCUUUCCUUUGUUGGAAAAUACAGCUAUGAAAAUUGUUAUAGUAAAUGUGUAUUAUUCUACACUGUUGUUGUAGCUCUCUAGUGUUCUGCAUGUUUUAAAAUGUACCUUAUAACAAUGUGUUUGUUUUAGAGAGAGAAAGACACUCUUAUUUAUCUCUCCGUAUCUGUAUUUAGGUAGAUCAAAUACUAUUGAGAGGUUGGACCUGAUUUUCAGUUCUCAGAAGCAAUCUGCUGCUAAUUUGUGAUAACGUCUUGUGGCUGCAAAUGAUUCCAGUUAACUGCCAGGGAUGCAUUUUAUAGUACUUAGGGUUCAAUCCUGUAAAAUGCUGAGCAAUUUCUUUCAAUUUCCAUUGAUCUCAAUGGGAGCUGGGUUACUCACCAUUUCACCAGUUGCUCAGCACCUUGCAGGAUCCAGCCCUAUGAUAUCUAACUAUGUGAUUUGUGGGCAUUAUCAAGUAGUUACAAAAGGUAACUGCAAUUCAUGAUGAAUACAUAAAGGCAGUCUGAAUUAAGGCUCUGCUAGGUAUCAGGGCCAUCGUCUCUCAUAUUUCUUGUUGCUAUGUAUUGUAUGAAGUAGUCUUAAAAUUCUUAAUAAAUGAAAAUAAAAUUUAAAAGAAUAUUAGGAGGAAUAAAAAGAGGUUAAAAAUAAAAUCAAUAUCUAAUACCAUCUGUGAAAUAAAGUAGUCUUGAAACCUGAUUUAUUCUCCAAUGGCAAAAGCCUAUAAUUAGUCUGUUGGAAAGAGGGAGAGAAGCCAGAUAAAAGGUCAAAAACAUUGUUUUCCUUCACUGGGAAUUCUUUUAGUGUUGCAAAGCAGAAAAUCCUAAUCAUUUUGUAAGUCACCUUUGCCUUCCUGCCCAGCCAGGAAAGAAAAGAAAUUUCCAUUAGAAGACAGCAUCCUCUCUCAUAAACCUUCACUAAACAGCAGCACCCCAACACCAUCAACCUUUCAAAGAGGAAUGCACCUGGAUUAAUAAUGUGUAAUGAUAGAUUAUGAUUUAAGAACUAAAGGUCACAUGUAAAAGUGAAAAUGAAAUUUCAACAGUAUGCCUCCUUCUAAUAUGUCAAUAUCCACCACCCUA